AAGGGGUGACGGCGUACCUUUUGUAUAAUGGGUCAGCGACUUACGUUCAGUAGCAAGCUUAACCGUAUAGGGCAGGCGUAGCGAAAGCGAGUCCGAAUAGGGCGUUCAGUUGCUGGGCGUAGACCCGAAACCAGGUGAUCUAUCCAUGGCCAGGAUGAAGGUGCGGUAACACGUACUGGAGGUCCGAACCCACUAACGUUGAAAAGUUAGGGGAUGAGCUGUGGAUAGGGGUGAAAGGCUAAACAAACCUGGAAAUAGCUGGUUCUCUCCGAAAACUAUUUAGGUAGUGCCUCGUGUCUCACCUUCGGGGGUAGAGCACUGUCAUGGUUGGGGGGUCUAUUGCAGAUUACCCCGCCAUAGCAAACUCCGAAUACCGAAGAGUGCAAUCACGGGAGACAGACAUCGGGUGCUAACGUCCGGUGUCAAGAGGGAAACAACCCAGACCGCCAGCUAAGGUCCCCAAAUAUAGCUAAGUGGGAAACGAAGUGGGAAGGCUAAAACAGUCAGGAGGUUGGCUUAGAAGCAGCCACCCUUUAAAGAAAGCGUAAUAGCUCACUGAUCGAGUCGUCCUGCGCGGAAGAUGUAACGGGGCUAAGCUAUAUACCGAAGCUGCGGAUGCGAGCUUUGCUCGCAUGGUAGGAGAGCGUUCCGUAAGCCUGCGAAGGUGCCUUGUAAAGGGUGCUGGAGGUAUCGGAAGUGCGAAUGCUGACAUGAGUAGCGAUAAAGGGGGUGAAAGGCCCCCUCGCCGUAAGCCCAAGGUUUCCUACGCAACGUUCAUCGGCGUAGGGUGAGUCGGCCCCUAAGGCGAGGCAGAAAUGCGUAGCUGAUGGGAAGCAGGUCAAUAUUCCUGCACCAUUGUUAGAUGCGAUGGGGGGACGGAUCGCGGAAGGUUGUCCGGGUGUUGGAAGUCCCGGUCGCUGCAUUGGAGAAGGCACUUAGGCAAAUCCGGGUGCG
rnacentral:rRNA from 1 species